CCAAUAGCGUAUAUUAAAGUUGUUGCAGUUAAAAAGCUCGUAGUUGAAUUUCGGGGUUAGUAGGUUGGUCAUGCCUCUGGUAUGUACUGGUCUCACUGAUUCCUCCUUCCUGAUGAUCCGUAAUGCCAUUUAUUUGGUGUUGCGGGGAAUUUGGACUGUUACUUUGAAAAAAUUAGAGUGUUUAAAGCAAGCUAACGCUUGAAUACAUUAGCAUGGAAUAAUGAAAUAGGACGUUCGAUCCUAUUUUGUUGGUUUCUAGGAUUGACGUAAUGAUUAAUAGGGAUAGUUGGGGGCAUUAGUAUUCAAUUGUCAGAGGUGAAAUUCUUGGAUUUAUUGAAGACUAACUACUGCGAAAGCAUUUGCCAAGGAUGUUUUCAUUAAUCAAGAACGAAAGUUAGGGGAUCGAAGACGAUCAGAUACCGUCGUAGUCUUAACCAUAAACUAUGCCGACUAGGGAUCGGAUGAUGUUAAUUUUUUAAUGACUCAUUCGGCGCCUUACG
rnacentral:rRNA from 1 species